rnacentral:lncRNA from 1 species
CAAUUAUUUUUAAUAAAAAUAUUUAGCCAUCCUAUUAAUGAUAAAACUUGACUAUCAUGAAUGGCAUUUUUUUCUAUUAGGAGAGUGAAAGACCACUGAAUGAAAUAAUAAUCAUUCAUAACAACCCAGAGGCAAGGAAGACCACCUGAAAGAGAAGAAAUAUAGAUGCCCCAGAGAGACUGUCUUUUCUACAGAUAUUGAUCUCCAAUCACCAUUUUAUACCUCAGACUUUCUUGCAGCACCUGGUCCCUGAGAACUAACUCCUGCAACAUAUAGGAUUGAGGAUAGCCCAAGAUAGCAGGAUGCAGUUUGGACCUAGAUCACCCACAGCUCAGCAGGCAAUGGGAAACUCAUCACUGGUGGUGCUGAAAAACAAUCAAGAUAAAAUUGACAUUUUGUUAUGAAGAUGAAGAAGCUAGAUUUAUCUUUUUCAUGUAAGAGAGCAUUUUUCUUCUCUGCUGAGGUCUAAGCAGAGUUACCUGCAGGUUGGGUUAACAGGCACCUCCAAUGGCAAUUUUAGAGCCAAUACAAGACCCUAAAAUCUUAGGUACUAGAUUAGCCAAGGUUUUCUAGAGAAACAGAACCAG